GAUGAAGAACGCAGCGAAAUGCGAUACGUAAUGUGAAUUGCAGAUUUCAGUGAAUCAUCGAAUCUUUGAACGCACAUUGCGCCCGCCAGUAUUCUGGCGGGCAUGCCUGUUCGAGCGUCAUUUCAACCAUCAAGCCUUCGCUUGUGUUGGGGCCCCGCGGCUGCCGCGGUCCCCUAAAUCCAGUGGCGGGCUCGUCGUCGUACCGAGCGCAGUAGACAUCCUCGCUCCGGGAACCCGACGGGUGCCGGCCGUGAAACCCCCCACAUCAAGGUUGACCUCGGAUCAGGAAGGAAUACCCGCUGAACUUAAGCAUAUCAAUAAGCGGAGGA
rnacentral:misc_RNA from 1 species